UACAUAUAUAGGGGGUGGGGAGAGAUAUGAGCCUAGGAUCAGAGCACACGUGCAAUUACUGGAAGAUAUGUAUGAUUAUUUAUCUUAUAUGGCUUUCUUCUUUGACUGACAGCAACCGCAGCCGCAGCUUAAUGUAUAGGCUCUAUGGUAUUGCCUCCAGUUUAGCAGACAAAGAGCGCAUGCGCCUACAAGAGGAUAGCGCCAUCCCAGCAUCCAGCCAGGGCCUCGCAGCAUCCCGGGGAGAGCGGAGUCCAUCGAUCGCUUGGUGCCUGUUGCUGGAAAUAGGAAAAAUGGAAAACAGACCAGAAAUUCAUCCAAGUUGUUAUCUAAGGACCAGUUUAUAUGAUAAAUGAAGCUAUGGGAGCCCUCCAACUGCUGCUGCUUCAAGCUGAAAACUGGAAGCAUACUGAUUGGAGUCUCCUAUUUGGUUUGUGGCUGCCUUGGGGCUGUAGUACUAGUGCUGCACCUGAUCAAUAUAGAGGAAUCUACAAAAGUUGCAUGUUCAGAUGAUUAUGUACUUGAGGCCUGUGAAGAAAGCCAUUAUGGAAGAGAGUUGGGGAUGACUAUCACAUUUUUGCUGAUAGCAUGUUUUCAUGUUGUCUUCAGCAGCCUCCUUCUUUAUGGAAUCCUCAAGCAAAAAACUGCAGUCUUCAUUCCUCUGAUGACAGUUUAUGCAGUUCAGAUAAGCUUGCUGAUCCUGCUUACUGUCGGACUGAUAUUUGCUCUUCUUUUGUAUUAUAGAGUUCACUUUAUGUUCAUUUUACUUUUCGGAGGUGUCUCUGGCAUGAUAAUAUAUGUGAUGUCAUACUUCCUCCUGGUCAUCCGUGCCCACUUCUAUGAAAUUAAAAGAGUGAAGGGGGAUCUUCAUGUGGCCCUGCAUGAGCAGAAUGUUGAGGUCAUUCCAAAUCCUGAGCCUCAAGCCCCUCCUGUAUAUCCUGCUACCUAAGUACCCACACGCAUUUGGCAGGGAUGCCCCUCAGUUCCCUGCCCUGGAGAGGGUUUACAAUAGUGGCAGUCUGACCUCUUUCCAUUCACGCUGCUUCAUCUUGUGACUCAAAAUACUUCUAAUAAGCAGCAGGUAGUAGACAACAAUAAUUGGGUUAAUUCUGAACAGAAAACAGCUCAAUAUAAUUUUGCUUAAUAUGAUAGUGGUUUUGAUUUUUCUCCAGUGCUUCAUUCAAAGUAACUGUACCGUAAAAGUGCAUUAAUAUGAAUAACAUCAGCACCACAUUUGUUUUGGAAUGUUGAAUUUUUCAGACUUGGAUGGUCACCCAAAUCACUGUAAACAUUUCCAUAACUGUAUACAUAAAUAAUAAUAUUAGAUUAUAGUAUCCUACCAUCAAGAAGUUAGAGAAUUGGGAUUUCCAGACAAGUGGAACGUACAUUAAUGGACUUUAACGGUAUUGUUUUCAUUUGAAUUAUCAGUGCAAUGUGCUUUAUCAGCUCAUCAGGUGCAGAGGACCUCCGAGUGUAACUACAGGGUGGCUCUUCUGUUAAGGUUCACAUGACACUGACCAUAACUAAUAUCAUAAAUUUUGAUCACUGGCUCAAGGCUAACGUCACCAUAUCAUGCUUCCCUUUUUCUAAUGGCAUUCUUCUCUACAGUUGUUUUUAUGGCAACCUUUUAAGGUAAUCCUUAAUUCUUCAGCAGUGCUUAAAAUGUGAAAAAAUGGAGAAAAAUUAAAGUUAAUGUUGUGAUUCAUUGUCUAACAGAACUAUGAAGGGUGUUGUUGAGUGUAUCAUGUAUGUUCUUACCUAAUUGUAUUUUUACAAGAUUGAGUCAAGCUUGUUAUGUCCCAUCUUUUAAAACUUUUAUCAUAAUGUUCUUUAAAAUUGCAAAUAUUUUUGGCACACAACUUUUUCUGAUAAUAUAUUACAGUGAGCUAUUGUUCUGUCUGAAAAGCUGAAUUUUCUUACUUCUAUUUUUAAUCAUUUCCACUAUAAUAUCUUGUUGUGCCCUCUUGAUGACUGCCUAGAGAGUAUAUAUUUAUUUAUUUUAAUCUUCCCUUUUUCUGUGACAUGUUUAUAUAGCAUGAUCAUAUCACCUUUUCUUCUCUUUUCUAGUGUUAGUAAAUGUAGCUUUUCAAAUAUUUCUUUGUGGCAGAAAUUUCUCUGGCUUGGCACCCAUCUCUUUGUACCAAAUUAAUCUUCUCAACAUGCUUUUUAUGUAUGGGGUCCAUACUAUUGUUGCAUAUAUUAGCAUUGAUCUUGUGAAUAAUGUAAUUACAGUAAACUCUCUUAUAAUUAGAUCAGAGGGGAGACUCAAUCCAGUAUAUCUUGAUGAAAAUCCGAUGUAUCCAAGGGUUAAUUUCACAUGUACCCCAGUUCCCCUAACACACCUACACUCACUAAAACUUUGCUUUUUCACAAAAAAAAUUCUGUCUCAUGACCCUUAAUCACCUUCAGCUUCUUAACAAUAUUCAGGCUCUUCCUUUUUCUCAUAAUAAGGAAUUAGAAGGCACAGCCUUAUCCUUGGAAUUCAUCACAAAUGCGCAAACAAGGGCUGAAGGCCAAUAAAGCACACGCAUAACAUGUGGUGUGUGAAUAGCACUGACCACAUGUCCAAUGGGUAAGGAGGAACAGUGUGAACUGAGUAGCGUGGCAGCUCUUGUGGCACAAAUUUCUGCCAGAUGCCUACCUAUCUAAAUUCUCACCAUAUUUGGAUUUUUAUCUGAUGCAUAAAUAAGUAUCCACCACCCUGAAAGUGUCUGAGAUAACCAAUAUUCAUUAUAUGAAUAUCUGAGAUAUAGAGGGUUUACUGUGUCUUCUUUACUAUUUCCUCAGUGAUGUAUGCAAAGGCAACUCUCAUAUUUGCCAACAGGUUAUACAUGUUCCUUGUUAGAUGCCUUUAAACUUUUACUCCUUAGUAUAUAGUCCCAGUCAACCCAUUUUACACUCUUUCCAAGUUUCAAUUAUUACAUGGCAUAUCUCUGCAUUGAAUUCCAUCUGCCAUCCACUCAUAUAGUUUUGUCAUAGCCUUUUGUAAUUCUUUACACAAGUUUUUUCUUUCUUAUUUUUCUUUUCAUGUAACUCUCCUAUUCAACCUAUUCAUGUAAUUUUGUUCUGAUCUUAUGUUUAUUUACCAUAUACAUAUGCACGUACAUACCUGAAACAUGAUUGGCGCCAGCAUUAAACCAUGUGGGACACCAAUUAUUACCUCUUUCCAAGAUUAGUACUCUCCUCUUAAUAUUAUUAUUAUUAUUAUUAUUAUUAUUAUUAUUAUUAUUAUUAUUAUUAUUAUUUAUUUAUUUAUUUAUUUAUUAUUAUUUUUUUUUUAAGGUCUUUCAUUGAUUGCAAUUUAUUCCCCUAGAUUCCUCCUGUGUAUUCAAGUUUUCACAUUACCUUUUGAAGACAGACUUAUCAAAAGCUGAAGUCUAAUUGUUUACUGUCUAACCAUCCAUCUGUCUUGUGUCAUUUUUGCAAUUCUUUCAUAGCAAUAUAGGAGACCUGAUAUGUAUGAUUUUCCUUUCCUAAAUCCAAAUUGCAUUUCUGACAACAUUUCCUACUUUUCAAGUGUCCUACUCAUCGUUUUUUAUUAUUUUUCCUGUUAUAUUUGAUCAGCACCAUCCUAAAGCUGCCAAAACUGAAUAAAUUAUUUUAUUAUUAUUAUUAUUAUUAUUAUUAUUAUUAUUAUUAUUAUUAUUAUUAUUAUUAUUAUUAUUAUUAUUAUUAUUAUUACUAUUAAUUGUGGUGCAAUGACUUCAUACCCCAAUCAAUCAAUUAUUCUUAUUAUAUGUGGCCUUUUUCCAUAUUUCUGGUAACUUACCAUUAUAUAAUUACUUUAAAUAUUAUUUUCAUCACCUCACUUGAUUCUUUUACACAUUUUCUAAUUACCAACUGAUCAUUUCAUCUGGUCCAUUUGAUUUCUGUUUCCCUCUUCUCUCAAGAUAAAUGUUUCCCAGUUUAUGUGUUGUUAGUUGUAUAAUUUUACCUUCUUCAAAUGGCCAUUCUGUAGUAACUAAUGACUGUAGGCUACUAUUUUACUAUUUAGAACUUCACAAAUUUUAAGUUUAACAUUUGUUUCUUCAUUUUUCCCAUCUCAUUUUAUAGUUCCCUUUUAUCCUCUAAGGCUAGUUCUUCUGCUUUCUAGACUCUAUAUUAUUAUUUUGAAUGCUUUUAUAUCCAUAAUGUCACAUCAGGAUGGAUUUUUUAUUGCCUUAUCUCUUUUUUCCUAACUUGUCAGAGAAUGACAUCAUUUCAGCAUUUGAGUUGUUAUGAUGUACUUGCAUGUUUCAGAUGGCUACUUAUUCACCCAACCUGCCUGCACUUGACUUCGACUUGCCCUGGAUACUUGGUACCAUUUACUUGCGUGCUUUUUUUUUUUUUUUUUUUU